AAGCGGAGGAAAAGAAACCAACAGGGAUUGCCCUAGUAACGGCGAGUGAAGCGGCAACAGCUCAAAUUUGAAAGCUAGCCUUCGGGUUCGCAUUGUAAUUUGUAGAGGAUGAUUUGGGGAAGCCGCCUGUCUAAGUUCCUUGGAACAGGACGUCAUAGAGGGUGAGAAUCCCGUAUGUGACAGGAAAUGGCACCCUAUGUAAAUCUCCUUCGACGAGUCGAGUUGUUUGGGAAUGCAGCUCUAAAUGGGAGGUAAAUUUCUUCUAAAGCUAAAUAUUGGCGAGAGACCGAUAGCGCACAAGUAGAGUGAUCGAAAGAUGAAAAGCACUUUGGAAAGAGAGUUAAAAAGCACGUGAAAUUGUUGAAAGGGAAGCGCUUGCAAUCAGACUUGUUUAAACUGUUCGGCCGGUCUUCUGACCGGUUUACUCAGUUUGGACAGGCCAGCAUCAGUUUCGGCGGCCGGAUAAAGGCUCUGGGAAUGUGGCCUCCACUUCGGUGGAGGUGUUAUAGCCCAGGGUGUAAUACGGCCAGCCGGGACUGAGGUCCGCGCUUCGGCUAGGAUGCUGGCGUAAUGGUUGUAAGCGACCCGUCUGAAA
rnacentral:rRNA from 1 species